rnacentral:rRNA from 1 species
CCUACGGGACGCAGCAGUGGGGAAUAUUGGGCAAUGGGGGGAAGCCUGAUCCAGCGACGCCGCGUGAGGGAAGAAGGAUUUCGGUAUGUAAAGCUCUUUUAUCAGGGACGAAAGAAAUGACGGUACCUGACGAAUAAGCCCCGGCUAACUACGUGCCAGCAGCCGCGGUAAUACGUAGGUGGCAAGCGUUAUCCGGAUUUACUGGGCGUAAAGGGAGCGUAGACGGUUACGCAAGUCUGGAGUGAAAGGCGCGGGCCCAACCCGCGGACUGC